UCCAUGCCAGGAGCCCGAUGCGGGACUUGAUCCCGGGACUCCAAGAUCGUGCCCUGGGCCAAGGCAGGUGCUAAACCGCUGAGCCACCCAGGGAUCCCCAGCCUGUGGUAUUUUGUUAUGGAAGUCCAUGCUAACUAACAUAAGUAGAGGCCACCAUCUAAUAAAAAAAAAAAUGAUAUAAAAAAUGUCACUUUUGUGACCUCAGAGGAAGCCAUGGCUACUUGGUGAGUCAGGUGAAAUGUCCUUUCAUUUAUCACCUGCAGAGGGUAUUAGGCCCAGAGGGACAGAUUUCCUUUAGUUAGCACUUCACUCAGUGAGGUUCUGCCCUGAUUUUAAGCUUCUCUUGAUUCAAAGCCCCCCUUGGACUUCUUAAUAACAUCAGCAAGGGCCAGUACAGUGUGGCAUUGAUUUUUAUCAUUUUUAACCUACCGUCAGUGCUAACUUUUGUUAUUAUUAAUACUGGUCUCCGGGGUGCUAACUUUUGGUAUUAUUAAUAUUGGUCUCCAGGUCUGUGAGAUCAUCUUGAGAAUAGAAGCUUGUGGCACAAGGACAAAUGGACUGAAUACUUUCUUAGUUCCUUGCACUUCUUAAGUCCAUCCUUAGACUCAGCUUUCCAAGAGUGUGGGGCCAAAUGGAGCUGUAAUACCCCUAGCACAUAUUUCCAGAGGUGUUAAGGAAUUCCCUUCUUUCCUUAGACCUGGGACUUUGAGGAAAAUUUCACAGCUAAAAGUUGCCCAGCUGAAAGAAUUAAAGGUCCAUGUCAAGACUUAACAGUCACGCAGCUCAGUGAGUCGUGUAACUCAGCCCCAGUCAAUCUUCUCAGAAUUCAAGACUCCAUGUCUGCAAAAUGAAGAUUAAAUGAACAAGGUGGCUGUCAGUUAUCGUAGGAGGUGGUGGAGGCAUUUGCUACUGGCUUCUGGUAUUGGUCCUGAAGGCACUAGAGGUCAGAAGAUCAGCAAUCAGGAAGAAAAGCUGGCCAUGGAGUGGAGAAAGAGCAUGUCUCACCUGGGAGGAUGUGCUGUAGUGCUAAAACACGAACAAGUCUCUCACCAGCUCCAACCACAAUCAUGUAGGAUCUGCAGGAGAAUCUGGUGCCCUUCAUCAUGGACCUACAUGCUCACUUGGCCCAGGACUCAGAGAAACUACAGGAACAGAUGUGGUGGGAGGGAUUAUGGGUCCAUGCACCCACCAAUCAUGUCAGCUAGAAGAUUAACAAAAAAUGUGUGCAAGUUACCCAUGGCUCGUGGCCUAUGCAGACUUUCAGACAUAGCAAAAUGGCUACACCUUUACUUUGGCCUUCCAAAUCCCACACAGCCCUUUUGUAUAUUCUACACUAAAACGGAGCAACCAGGGAAGGGAAUUCUGGGCAACAUAGCUCCAGAUUAGGUAAAAUGAUACAAGACAAAGCUCUGCAAUAACUCCCAGGGAAGUUACUCUCCAGGAAUUAUCAUCAUCCAAAGACAGCUGUUGCAUCCAUCCAAGGGCACCUCUUCCUUGGAAGCAGCAUUUGCUCUGGAGGUACAAAGCUGUGCCUCAAUUGGUAUGACUUUGAGCAACCACCCAAUGUCAGAGCUACCCAAAUUCCUUGAGGCCUCUGAUAUAACUGCUCUGCCAUGCAACCUCUCCUUUUGCCCAAACCUCACUUUUAGCCAACAGAUAUUGUUCCUGGGAGCAGGCCCCAAUAAGCCUCCUGCAGCAAUUCUCAGGCACUCAGACUUUGUUUUCCAGGUCACUCAAUCUAUUACAAUUGCAUACAGCUAUCUUAUAGUGAGCUGUUUGCAGUGACAAAAUGAGGAGAUAAUGUGAAUUCCAAUUAUAGGUAUAAAAUAUAUUAUGAUAUAUCCAUACCAUAGAAUAUUUGCCAGAAAUGAAAUGCCCUAAGGCUCUACAUGUUGAUAUGGAAGGAUUCACACUAGGUACUCUGUUGAGGAAGAAAAGCAAUAUGUGAAAAAUUCUGUAUAUUAUAGCAAAUAUUUUUUGUUAAAUGUUAGAGCUCAUACACAACCUCUUUUUUGUAUACGGAUUUUUGUAUAUAUAUAUAUAUGUGUGUGUGUGUAUAUACAUAUAUGUUUGCAAGUAAUUACAUAGUAAUUACAUAAUAAAUUAGAAAGUACAUGUGCUAAGUUGAUGAUGUGGCUUACUUGGUACAGAGGAUAAGUUUUGAAGAGGAGGGAAGAAGAAAGAAAAAAGCAAAAAUGUAUACACUGAUAAAUAAGCCUAAAAUCAUAUCUAUUCAAUGAUAUAAAUAAUGUAUGUGCAUCUGUGUGUAUGUGUAUUUAAAGAAUAUAUAAGCAUUCAUUUAUGCAUAAAUAAAAUACAUAUAAAUAAAAUAUCAUGCAUUUAUAUUUACUUACAUUAAAGAAAUUCAAAUGUGCUGCUUUUCGCAAGGUAUUGACAACAUAAUAAAAAUAUAACUUUGAUC
rnacentral:lncRNA from 1 species